UCAACCUAAUUCUCAUGCAUUGUACGUAGCUUAUCGUCAAUUCACUCGCGAAUUCUUCGAUCCUCGUCUCGCGGCUCUUGCUCUCGCCGAAUCAUUUUCAAAAUUUUCCCCCCGUUUCCCGCGGUUAUUCGCACUUUUUCCCCCCCGUUGCUGUUUCACGUUGUUUUUUCCUCUUGUGUCUCUUUUCUUUUUUUUCUUUUUUUCUUUUUUUUUUUAAUCGUUUAAUCGCGUACACAGGUCCACUUGCGUGCAGGCGGGCGGCGUGCGUCGCGGUGAAAGAAUUUAUCGGAAGAACACACGUCUG